rnacentral:rRNA from 1 species
AACGAACGCUGGCGGCAGGCCUAACACAUGCAAGUCGAACGCUCCGCAAGGAGAGUGGCAGACGGGUGAGUAACACGUGGGAAUCUUCCUGUUGGUUCGGAAUAGCUCAGGGAAACUUGGGGUAAUACCGGAUAAGCCCGAGAGGGGAAAGAUUUAUCGCCGACAGAUGAGCCCCGCGUCUGAUUAGCUAGUUGGUGAGGUAAUGGCUCACCAAGGCGACGAUCAGUAGCNGGUCUGAGAGGAUGACCAGCCACACUGGGACUGAGACACGGCCCAGACUCCUACGGGAGGCAGCAGUGGGGAAUAUUGGACAAUGGGCGCAAGCCUGAUCCAGCCAUGCCGCGUGAGUGACGAAGGUCUUCGGAUU